AUGGAGUUGUGGCUGAGCUGUAUUUUCCUUGUUGCUAUUUUAAAAGGUGUCCAGGGUGAGGUGCAGCUGGUGGAGUCUGGGGGAGGAUUGGUGAAGCCUGGCAGGUCCCUGAAACUCUCCUGUGCAGCCUCUGGAUUCACCUUCAGUAGCUAUGCCAUGUACUGGUUCUGCCAGUCACCAAGGAAGGGGCUGGAGUGGUUCUCAUACAUUAGUAGUAAUGGUAGCACAAAUUAUGCAGACUCCGUGAAGGGCAGAUUCACCAUAUCCAGAGACAAUUCCAAGAACACAUUGUAUCUGCAAAUGAACAACCUGAGAGCCGACGACACCGUCACAUAUUACAGUGCAAAGGAGACACAGUGUGUGAACUUCAGUGUACAGAUGCCUGAUUCAGGACCUGGAUUCCUGAAGCCCUCAGACACUGUCCCUCAACUGCUCUGUAUCUGGAUUCAUUUCUGCAAGCUACCAUAUCCUCUGCUUCAUAAGGCUGCAUGA